rnacentral:rRNA from 1 species
CCUACGGGGCGCACCAGUGGGGAAUAUUGCACAAUGGGCGCAAGCCUGAUGCAGCCAUGCCGCAUGUAUGAAGAAGGCCUUCGGGUUGUAAAGUACUUUCAGCGGGGAGGAAGGAGUUGUGGUUAAUAACCGCAGCAAUUGACGUUACCCGCAGAAGAAGCACCGGCUAACUCCGUGCCAGCAGCCGCGGUAAUACGGAGGGUGCAAGCGUUAAUCGGAAUUACUGGGCGUAAAGCGCACGCAGGCGGUCUGUCAAGUCGGAUGUGAAAUCCCCGGGCUCAACCUGGGAACUGCAUUCGAAACUGGCAGGCUAGAGUCUUGUAGAGGGGGGUAGAAUUCCAGGUGUAGCGGUGAAAUGCGUAGAGAUCUGGGGGAAUACCGGUGGCGAAGGCGGCCCCCUGGACAAAGACUGACGCUCAGGUGCGAAAGCGUGGGGAGCAAACAGGAUUAGAUACCCCGGUAGUC